UACAGAGGUCCCGAGCGUUGUUCGGAUUCACUGGGCGUAAAGGGUGCGUAGGUGGCGGGGUAAGUUUGAUGUGAAAGCUCCGAGCUUAACUCGGAAAUUGCAUUGAAUACUAUCCUGCUCGAGGGUUGAAGGGGGGACUGGAAUUCUCGGUGUAGCAGUGAAAUGCGUAGAUAUCGAGAGGAACACCCGUGGCGAAGGCGAGUCCCUGGACAACUCCUGACACUGAGGCACGAAAGCGUGGGGAGCGAACAGG
rnacentral:rRNA from 1 species